GCUCAUUUGACGCAGUGGUAGCGUGCCGUUCUUAUACUCUCUUUGUUUACCGAAGCUUGUAUGAUAAGAAAUGCGGAAGCCGUGAGUUCGACCCUCACAAUGAGCA